rnacentral:rRNA from 1 species
GACAUAGGUUGCGAACGUUAUCCGGAAUUAUUGGGCGUAAAGGGUGCGUAGGUGGUUUGAUAAGUUAUCUGUGGCAAAUCGGGGCUCAACCUCGUGGAAGCUGGUAAUACUGUCAUACUCGAGUGCAGGAGAGGUUAACGGAACUCUAUGUGGAGCGGUAAAAUGUGACGAUAUAUAGAAGAGCACCAAUAAGGCGAAGGCAGUUAACUGGACUGGUACUGACAUUGAGGCAUGAAAGCGUGGGGAGCAAAACGG